rnacentral:rRNA from 1 species
UACAGAGGUCUCAAGCGUUGUUCGGAUUCAUUGGGCGUAAAGGGUGUGUAGGUGGCGCGCUAAGUCGGGUGUGAAAUUUCGGAGCUUAACUCCGAAACUGCAUUCGAUACUGGCGUGCUUGAGGACUGGAGAGGAGACUGGAAUUCAUGGUGUAGCAGUGAAAUGCGUAGAGAUCAUGAGGAAGACCGGUGGCGAAGGCAGGUCUCUGGGCAUUAACUGACGCUGAGGAGCGAAAGCAUGGGGAGCGAACAGG